rnacentral:lncRNA from 1 species
AUGAAUCCCUUCACUAAAGUAAAGCUCAUCAAUGAGCUAAAUUAGUAGGAGCCCCCCAGCUUAAUAUGGUGCCUCAGAUGUCUUGGCCCUCCACUAGCAAGGACAGGCAGUAAAUCUUUCUCGAGGGUCUUGCUUAGAAAUUAACUGAACAGGUAUAUUAUGACCUAUUCUCACAAUAUGGAAAAAUAUUAACAUUAAUCUUGUAUGGAACAAGAAAUCUUGUAAAUCCAAAUUAUUCUCUUUUAUCAUUGCUUUGAAGUUCAGAAACAUGAUUCUGGCUGUUGUCAAGUUUAAUAGACUAAAGAUCAGAGGAAGAAUCACCUGAGUCAACCACAUACCUAACUAUGGGCCCCAUAAAAACAUAGAGACUAUGGAU